rnacentral:lncRNA from 1 species
GGUGCGGCGUCUGCGCAGAAGGUGCUGGACCAGGUCCUAGGUGGAUCGAUCCCUGCUGGUCCGCAAUGUGGGGUGCUGCAGGGUUUUCUGGCGUGGCCCCCAGAAACUAUCACCAGCGCCUUCAGCCUCGGUGCACAGACACUUCAAAUCCAAGCAGCACCUGGAAAUGCUGCCUGCCCCAGGCACCGGGGCCUCACUGGAGGCAAAGCCUUCCAUUCCACAGGACCAGGAACCAGGAGCUAAGGUGUCUGGAGCCCUGAGGAGAGAGGCAGCCAGGAACAGGUCCCUGUGUUUAAUUUGGCUGGGAUAUCAUCUCUUGCAAUGGAGAGUUG